rnacentral:tRNA from 1 species
UCCUUGGUGGCUCAGAUGGUAAAGCAUCUGCCUACAAUGCAGGAGAUACGGGUUCAAUCCCUGGGUCGGGAA